AGGAAAGUAAAGAAGGGCGCAUGGCGGAUGCCUUGGCUCUCGGAGGCGAUGAAGGACGUGAUAAGCUGCGAUAAGCUUUGGGGAGGUGCAAAUGACCUUUGAUCCAGAGAUUUCCGAAUGGGACAACCCAAUAUCUUGAAGAGGUAUUAUCCAACGUUGUUGGAGGCUAACGCAGGGAACUGAAACAUCUUAGUACCUGCAGGAAAAGAAAAUAAACAAUGAUUCCCCCAGUAGUGGCGAGCGAACGGGGAACAGCCCAAACCAUCCAUGUUACGGCAUGGGUGGGGUUGUAGGACUACGCCGUUGCAUGAAGACAUCAGAGAAGAACUUUCUGGAAAGAAAGACCAUAGAGCAUGACAGUUGCGUAUUCGAAUGUUGUCGAAGCAUAGUAGUAUCCUGAGUAGCGCGGAGCACGAGGAAUUCUGCGUGAAUCUGCCGGGACCAUCCGGUAAGGCUAAAUACUCCCGAGAGACCGAUAGCGAACCAGUACCGUGAGGGAAAGGUGAAAAGCACUUCGAACAGAAGAGUGAAAUAGUUCCUGAAACCGUGCGCCUACAAGCGGUCGGAGCUCGUUAAUGAGUGACGGCGUGCCUUUUGCAUAAUGAACCUACGAGUUGCCUUUGCCGGCAAGGUUAAGUGUGACGACACACGUAUCCGAAGCGAAAGCGAGUCUGAAGAGGGCGUAUAGUCGGCAGUGGCAGACGCGAAACCAAGUGAUCUACCCUUGGCCAGGUUGAAGGCUGGGUAACACCAGCUGGAGGACCGCACCAAUAAGCGUUGAAAAGCUUCUGGAUGAGCUGAGGGUAGGGGUGAAAGGCUAAUCAAACUUGGAGAUAGCUCGUACUCCCCGAAAUGCAUUUAGGUGCAGCCUUGCGGGUUACUGAUGUGAGGUAGAGCGACUGAUAAGAUGCGAGGGCUUCACCGCCUAUCAAGUCUUGACAAACUCCGAAUGCGCAUCAGUUCUACCGCAGGAGUGAGGGCAUGGGUGCUAAGGUCCGUGCCCGAGAGGAGAAGAAUCCGGACCACCUGCUAAGGUCCCGAAAUGACAGCUAAGUUAAACUAACGAAGUCUGACUGCUAAGACAGCUAGGAUGUUGGCUUGGAAGCAGCCAUUCAUUUAAAGAGUGCGUAACAGCUCACUAGUCGAGGAGUCGGGCGUGGAUAAUAAUCGGGUAUGAAGUUGUCUACCGAAGCAGUGGGAUCAUUGAUAUGAUCGGUAGGGGAGCAUUCCAGUCGGCGUCGAAGGCGUACCGUGAGGUAUUCUGGAGCGUCUGGAAAAGCAAAUGUAGGUAUAAGUAACGAUAAAGGGGGCGGGAAACCCCCUCGCCGAAAGACUAAGGUUUCCUGAUCAACGCUAAUCGGAUCAGGGUCAGUCGGGUCCUAAGGCUCAGCCGAACGGCGAUGCCGAUGGCAGAAACGGUUAAUAUUCCGUUACUACCUUCAGGAGUGACGUGGAGACGCAGUAGUGACAGUGCCGCCAUCUGACGGAAUAGAUGGUUGAAGGGUGUAGGAGUCGAUCAUGGCAGGCAAAUCCACCAUGAGAUCCGAACCUGAUAGUAUGCCGCGUCCUUCGGGACAAGGCAAUAGUGCGCGUAAGCAUGCUGCCGAGAAAAUCCGCUAAACUUAAUCCUGCAGGUACCCGUACCGCAAACGGACACACGUAGUCGGGAUGAAUAUUCUAAGGCGCUUGAGUGAUUCACGGUUAAGGAACUAGGCAAACUGACCCUGUAACUUCGGGAUAAAGGGUCCCUACCCUUUUAUGGGAGGGCGCAGAGAAUCGGUCCAGGCAACUGUUUAACAAAAACACAGGGCUGUGCCAAAUCGAAAGAUCCAGUAUACAGCCUGACACCUGCCCGGUGCUGGAAGGUUAAGAGGAGAUGUCAUCGAUAAGAGAAGCGUUGAAUUGAAGCCCCAGUAAACGGCGGCCGUAACUAUAACGGUCCUAAGGUAGCGAAAUUCCUUGUCGGGUAAGUUCCGACCUGCACGAAUGGUGUAAUGAUCUGGACGCUGUCUCAACCGUGAGCUCAGUGAAAUUGUAGUAUCGGUGAAGAUGCCGAUUACCCGCGAUGGGACGAAAAGACCCCGUGAACCUUUACUAUAGCUUAUCAUUGAAUCUGGGCACGUGAUGUGUAGGAUAGGUCGGAGGCUUUGAAGCAGGUACGCCAGUAUUUGUGGAGCCGCUGUUGAAAUACGACCCUUUAUUUGUUUGGAUUCUAACCCGUGGA
rnacentral:rRNA from 1 species